UGAACCAGCCAUGCCGCGUGCAGGAAGACAGCCCUCUGGGUCGUAAACUGCUUUUAUUCGGGAAUAAACCUACUUACGUGUAAGUAGCUGAAUGUACCGAAGGAAUAAGGAUCGGCUAACUCCGUGCCAGCAGCCGCGGUAAUACGGAGGAUCCAAGCGUUAUCCGGAUUUAUUGGGUUUAAAGGGUGCGUAGGCGGCUUAUUAAGUCAGGGGUGAAAGACGGUGGCUCAACCAUCGCAGUGCCCUUGAUACUGAUGAGCUUGAAUGAACUAGAGGUAGGCGGAAUGUGACAAGUAGCGGUGAAAUGCAUAGAUAUGUCACAGAACACCGAUUGCGAAGGCAGCUUACUAUGGUUUUAUUGACGCUGAGGCACGAAAGCGUGGGGAUCAAACAGGAUUAGAUACCCUGGUAGUCCACGCCCUAAACGAUGAAUACUCGCUGUUAGCGAUAUACAGUUAGCGGCUAAGCGAAAGCGUUAAGUAUUCCACCUGGGGAGUACGCCCGCAAGGGUGAAACUCAAAGGAAUUGACGGGGGCCCGCACAAGCGGAGGAGCAUGUGGUUUAAUUCGAUGAUACGCGAGGAACCUUACCCGGGCUUGAAAGUUACUGAAUGAUCUAGAGAUAGAUCAGUCCGCAAGGACAGGAAACUAGGUGCUGCAUGGCU
rnacentral:rRNA from 1 species